rnacentral:rRNA from 1 species
UCGAGGAUCUUCGGCAAUGAGCGCAAGCUUGACCGAGCGACGCCGCGUGAGCGAUGAAGGCCUUCGGGUUGUAAAGCUCUUUAGUGGGGGAGAAAAGCCGAAAGGUGUGAUCUAUCCCAAAAAUAAGCACGGGCUAAGUUCGUGCCAGCAGCCGCGGUAAGACGAACCGUGCGAACGUUGUUCGGAAUCACUGGGCUUAAAGGGAGCGUAGGCGGGCUAUCAAGUCUGGGGUGAAAUCCCACGGCUCAACCGUGGAACUGCCUUAGAUACUGACGGCCUCGAGGGAGAUAGGGGCAUGCGGAACUGUAGGUGGAGCGGUGAAAUGCGUUGAUAUCUACAGGAACUCCGGUGGCGAAAGCGGCGUGCUGGAUCUCUUCUGACGCUGAGGCUCGAAAGCUAGGGGAGCAAACGG